rnacentral:rRNA from 1 species
CCUACGGGCGGCAGCAGUGGGGAAUAUUGCACAAUGGGCGCAAGCCUGAUGCAGCCAUGCCGCGUGUGUGAAGAAGGCCUUCGGGUUGUAAAGCACUUUCAGCGGGGAGGAAGGCGUUAAGGUUAAUAACCUUGUCGAUUGACGUUACCCGCAGAGGAAGCACCGGCUAACUCCGUGCCAGCAGCCGCGGUAAUACGGAGGGUGCAAGCGUUAAUCGGAAUUACUGGGCGUAAAGCGCACGCAGGCGGUCUGUCAAGUCGGAUGUGAAAUCCCCGGGCUCAACCUGGGAACUGCAUUCGAAACUGGCAGGCUAGAGUCUUGUAGAGGGGGGUAGAAUUCCAGGUGUAGCGGUGGAAUGCGUAGAGAUCUGGAGGAAUACCGGUGGCGAAGGCGGCCCCCUGGACAAAGACUGACGCUCAGGUGCGAAAGCGUGGGGAGCAAACAGGAUUAGAUACCCGGGUAGUC